GACGAACGCUGGCGGCGUGCCUAAUACAUGCAAGUUGAGCGAUGAAGAUUGGUGCUUGCACCAAUUUGAAGAGCAGCGAACGGGUGAGUAACGCGUGGGGAAUCUGCCUUUGAGCGGGGGACAACAUUUGGAAACGAAUGCUAAUACCGCAUAACAACUUUAAACAUAAGUUUUAAGUUUGAAAGAUGCAAUUGCAUCACUCAAAGAUGAUCCCGCGUUGUAUUAGCUAGUUGGUGAGGUAAAGGCUCACCAAGGCGAUGAUACAUAGCCGACCUGAGAGGGUGAUCGGCCACAUUGGGACUGAGAACCGGCCCAAACCCCUACGGGAGGCAGCAGUGGGGAAUCUUCGGCAAUGGACGAAAGUCUGACCGAGCAACGCCGCGUGAGUGAAGAAGGUUUUCGGAUCGUAAAACCCUGUUGGUAGAGAAGAACGUUGGUGAGAGUGAAAAGCUCAUCAAGUGACGGUAACUACCCAGAAAGGGACGGCUAACUACG
rnacentral:rRNA from 1 species